AGUUUAAAAUAUAUGUUGCUGUAAGAACAGCCUCUCCCCAAAAUACUAAGUUCAACUUGGCUCCACUAAGCAUUGCACAAGCUCGCUCUGUAAUCGAUCUUAUCAUACGCGCUGACACUCCAUUUUGCUGUGGGGUUCGCGGGAUCGUAGGGUGAUACGUGAUGCCUCUUUGCACACAAAACUGUUUCAUCUCACUGGAAAAAUAUUCGCCACCAUUAUCGCAAAAUAGAUUAACUAAUUUUAAGUUAAAAUGUGCUUCACUCUUUGCAACAAAAUCUUUAAAAACAGAGAAAACAUCUGAUUUGUGUUGAAUCAGGGUGUUUACUAGAAAUCCGCGAAGCAGCGUUUUUCAAAGCAAAGCGAAGGCGACGCUUCAUAAUUUGCGAAGCAACUGCGAAGCGAAGCGGACAAGAAAAACACCUUCAAAUACGCUGGAUGCAACCCGCGGAAUUUCGUGACAUUCACUCCAGCGAGUCGCGACUCAUUGUCAGCGUGCGGCGGUGGUAAAUUUCGUUGAACACCGGGAAAUACAUGAAAAAUACACACAUUAAAAUUUCCCUCCUUUUCUCCUAAAUUUUAAGAAUAUAUUUUUAUUGAAAUGCCAGCAGAUCUAACAUUUUUGUUGUAAUUUUGUCAUCGGUUUUGCUUUCAUUAUAACGGAAUGAUAAAAAGUAAAAACGGUUUUAACUUUUUA